rnacentral:rRNA from 1 species
GAUGAACGCUAGCUACAGGCUUAACACAUGCAAGUCGCGGGGCAGCAUGGGGGUUGCUUGCAAUCCCCGAUGGCGACCGGCGCACGGGUGAGUAACGCGUAUUCAACCUGCCCUUCACCACGGGAUAACCCGGCGAAAGUCGGACUAAUACCGUAUGUUGUCCAUUGACGGCAUCCGAUUUGGACGAAAGGCUUGGCGGUGAGGGAUGGGGAUGCGUCCGAUUAGCCAGACGGCGGGGUAACGGCCCACCGUGGCUACGAUCGGUAGGGGUUCUGAGAGGAAGGUCCCCCACACUGGAACUGAGACACGGUCCAGACUCCUACGGGAGGCAGCAGUGAGGAAUAUUGGUCAAUGGGCGUAAGCCUGAACCAGCCAAGUAGCGUGCAGGAUGACGGCCCUAUGGGUUGUAAACUGCUUUUAUGCGGGGAUAAGGUGGCCCACGUGUGGGCUUUUGCAGGUACCGCAUGAAUAAGGACCGGCUAAUUCCGUG